UGUUCCCACUUUUGAUCUUUGGCUUUCCAUCCAUUUUCCUUCAACUAUCAUAGCUCCUUUAAAUUUAUACGAACUAAUUUAUCCUAAUUUUUAUUGUCACGGCUUUUUGCUACUUUUACAAUCGGAGGUACCGGUUUGAGCAUGUAAAAGCUAAAGACCAAAAUGAGUUUGAAAAAUCUCUCGAGGCAUCAACUGUCAAUACACCGGUUGUCAUCUAUCAAUUACUGUCAAAAUAAACCUGUUUGUUUACAAAUAAGAAAUGUAUUUUUCGAAUAAGAUUAAUUAAACAACCAUUUGAAAAACAAUGCAUGAACUUUACGAGCAUUUAUUCGACAGUCCUAGUUACCGUAGAACUAGCUUUUCCGUAUUUAUCGCCGUUCUUUACGUGGAAUUGCUCUACAUACUAGGAAUGACGUUAUUUGUCUUAACACGUUUAAAUACUUUAAAUAGCAACUAAUCUUCAAUACCUGGAAAUGUUUAUAGGGACAUAUUGCACUUUGGCUCAGGAACCGAUACAAUCACCCUAUAAGAUCUGAACCUGCAAUCACAAUUAUUGGCAGUGUUUCUUAAAACUAAGUCAAGUGUUUUGGUCUUAGGCCCCAGAGUUAUGUUUUAUUGGCACAAUAAAUUAGUUGAUGUGGUGUUUCAAUAUAACUGUUGCUACUACAUCAAGUAUAUAUUAUUACCUUUAAAAUCAAUCAAAAGUACUUUCCCGGCUUAGCAAUGCAAUACUCCAUGUUUUUUAAUUUGCUCAGAGAUAUAAUAAGCCAUUUGGGAGUAUCACAAUUGAUAAUUGUAAUGUAGUAGCCAUUAAGAGUACUAAUCCAAAUAGCUGUGAAUGUUAUAAUGGCCACUUAUAGAAAUGGAAUAUUGCAAGAACACCCUGAGCACAAAUUGCAAUGGAAAAUGGUUAGUGGGCCGAGACUUGUGGGCAAACAAAGACUUUUAGCAUGGAAGACAUUAUUGUUGCAUUUUUAUCAUAAAUUGAAGUUAGAUAAAAAUAGAUAUUUAUGAUGGUAUGUUGCUUAGAAAAAUCUGUUUUCUUAGGCUAACAACUAAGAAAGAGAAGUUUUGGUAUAUAAGUAAUGAGCAGUCACAGGAGCACAAAAUGUACCAUCAUUUCAGCAAAUACAAGCUAGAAAGUAAGGUUAUCCAACAAGUGAUUCAUGUUAAUCCCUGUAAUAUUGUAAUUAUAAUAAUAAAUAUGGUUAUAGCUGAAAUUGUUGAUCGUAAUAAGUAUGUCCAAUAAAUCCCUAUUGUAACUACACAUUCUAAAGUUGUUAAAACUGAAAAAAUAAUAGGGAUACUAGAAUAGUUUUGGAUGGAGGCAAAUACUGAUUUAAAAACCAAAAUUUCCUACAAAAGUAUUCUUAUAUCUCAAUAAAAAAGUCUCAUGAUAAUGCACACACACCAAGAGUGAUGUAUUGCGUAACAAUCUUAGUAAUUGAAACAAUGAAGUAAAUGAUAGUUCCACCCCUAAUACUGUGUCCAGUGUAACAUUAAAAGUGGAUAAUUUAAAUGCAGAAGUUACGCAAAUUGUAUAGAAAUUGCAUUUAUUUAAUUUGUAUUAAAUAUUUGAACAGAAACAUAAAGUAAUUUACAUCGAGUUUUAACAAAAUAGAAAAGCUAUAUAAAUAUUAGCACCUAGGUACGCAGUACCUGUAUGUGCUUGAAAAAUACAACAAAUACUCUAAAAAUUACAACAAUUGCCUCAUUUUCCAAAUGCUCUAGUUACUUCUAACGCGCUUAAUAAAUUUAUAAUACACAAGAUAAACUUAAUUUUGAUUUAUGGUACAUCGUUUUUAAUUAUUAUUGAAAAUUUCUAAAAAAUUUAAGAUGUAUUCUUUAGAUUUCUUCUUAAAUGUGCCCAUGAUUUCUAUAGUUCUUAUAUUGUGAGGUAACAAAUUGUAAAGUUUCGGCCUUAAAUAAUCUACAAAAUGUUGUUCCAUAGUAUUUUUACAUAAGAUAGAGUUAUGUAGUUGGUUUGAUUUACCUCUUGUAGGAUAGUUACGUGAUAUGAUGUUGCAACUAAAGUUAUUAUUUAAAUGGACAUAAUUACAAACUUCUAUUACAUAUAAUGUUCUUAUAUUAGAUAUUUCUUUUGAGUAUAACUUGUAAGUAGGGUAGAGUUUUGGUUUUUUUUAAAUGAUUUUAAUUAUGUAAUUUUGUAUAACCCUUAACUGUUCCAUAUUCAUACUGUACAUACCACCCCACAUCAACAUAUCAUACCUAAGCAACGGUUCAACAAGUGCCUUAUACACUACAAUUAAAUUUUUUUUGUUUAGGAACUGUCUAAGCAAAUAAAACUUGUAAAUUAGAUAUCUGAUUUUUUUAGUAAUAUAUAUAUGUUGGUUCCAUUUUAAAUUGUUAUCUAAAAUAAUUCCUAAGUAUUUUAUUUUGUUUUGCUCUUUUAUUAAAUUAUUAUCAUUUAUUUUAAUGUUGCUAAAAUUUGGUCUAUUUGCUGCUGUAAGUGAAAAGGCUACAUAAUAUAUUUUAGAAAUAUUUAAA